ACCACCACCACCACCACAACAACAACAACAGCAACUAUUAUAGUCUUUAGGCAAAGCCGUGUUUCAAACUCAGCAGUUUUAUUUAUUAUAUCCUUAACCUACACCCACACCCACACCCACACCCACACCCACACCACUCUUGUCCUUUUGCUUACAACACAACUGCUGCAAAGCGAUCGAUCGAUCGAUCGAGGUGGUGGUCGACUAACUAGAGAGAGCAGAAAUGGUAUAAUUUC
rnacentral:lncRNA from 1 species